rnacentral:rRNA from 1 species
CACGCCGUAAACGAUGAAUACUAGGUGUAGGGGUUGUCAUGACCUCUGUGCCGCCGCUAACGCAUUAAGUAUUCCGCCUGGGGAGUACGGUCGCAAGAUUAAAACUCAAAGGAAUUGACGGGGGCCCGCACAAGCAGCGGAGCAUGUGGUUUAAUUCGAUGCAACGCGAAGAACCUUACCAGGGCUUGACAUAUAUGCGCUAGCACUAGAGAUAGUGGGUUCUCUUCGGAGACGUAUAUACAGGUGG